GACGAACGCUGGCGGCGUGCUUAACACAUGCAAGUCGAACGGAAAGGCCCUGCUUUUGUGGGGUGCUCGAGUGGCGAACGGGUGAGUAACACGUGAGUAACCUGCCCUUGACUUUGGGAUAACUUCAGGAAACUGGGGCUAAUACCGGAUAGGAGCUCCUGCUGCAUGGUGGGGGUUGGAAAGUUUCGGCGGUUGGGGAUGGACUCGCGGCUUAUCAGCUUGUUGGUGGGGUAGUGGCUUACCAAGGCUUUGACAGGUAGCCGGCCUGAGAGGGUGACCGGCCACAUUGGGACUGAGAUACGGCCCAGACUCCUACGGGAGGCAGCAGUGGGGAAUAUUGCACAAUGGGCGGAAGCCUGAUGCGGCAGCGCCGCGUGCGGGAUGACGGCCUUCGGGUUGUAAACCGCUUUCGCCUGUGACGAAGCGUGAGUGACGGUAAUGGGUAAAGAAGCACCGGCUAACUACGUG
rnacentral:rRNA from 1 species